rnacentral:rRNA from 1 species
AGCGAACGCUGGCGGCAGGCCUAACACAUGCAAGUCGAGCGCCCCCGCAAGGGGGAGCGGCGGACGGGUGAGUAACGCGUGGGAAUUUUCCUCAAGGUACGGAACAACUCAGGGAAACUUGGGCUAAUACCGUAUGAUGUCUAGCGACCAAAGAUUUAUCGCCUUGGGAUAAGCCCGCGUCAGAUUAGGUAGUUGGUGGGGUAACGGCCUACCAAGCCUGCGAUCUGUAGCUGGUCUGAGAGGACGAUCAGCCACAUUGGGACUGAGACACGGCCCAAACUCCUACGGGAGGCAGCAGUGGGGAAUCUUGCGCAAUGGGCGAAAGCCUGACGCAGCCAUGCCGCGUGAAUGAUGAAGGUCUUAGGAUUGUAAACCUCUUUUCUCAAGGAAGAAGUUCUGACGGUACUUGAGGAAUCAGCCUCGGCUAACUCCGUGCCAGCAGCCGCGGUAA